rnacentral:tRNA from 2 species
UGGGCUAUAGCCAAGCGGUAAGGCAGCGGAUUUUGAUUCCGUCAUUCGCUGGUUCGAAUCCAGCUAGCCCAG